UUCUCAAUUUCGGCCACCAGUGCCUUGUUCGCCUCACGAGACUCCUCCAAGGACUUCUCUCGGUCAGCAAGAGCCUCCUUCACACCACCCAAGUCAUUCACAGCUGCCUCCAAUUCCGCAACAAGCUGAAUCUUUUCAGCCUUCAGAGCAUUAUAUGCUGAUCCCAUUUCGCAAGUCUUCUGCAAAUCAGCGCGAAGAGAAGGUCAGACACAUUCAACAAGGAAAACAAUAAAAGCUCAAAGUUCUUCAGACCCCUGCCGGCGCAAGCAGUCGACAGCGGUCACGGGGACUACACCCAGUGGGUUCACUAAGAGUGACCCCACUGGCAUGAAGCUCGAACAGGUCCGCCCUAUUGAGCUACAUGACAAAAACAAGCCUAUGAGGCUACUAUUACCCGACCUGACUAUAACUACUCUCGGGGACUACUUCUAGUGGGUGUACUCGGAGUGCCCCCACUGGUACCAUUCGAGCAGAUCAGUUCUGAUCCGAUCAAGUCACGGAAAAUUUAUAUUAAGACAACUGCCGGUGCAAGCACUCGACAGAAGUCUCGGGGAGUACACCCACUAGGUUCACUCGGAGUGAACCCACUGCAAAAUAAUACUACUGUAUCCGAGUCUAUCAAUUCAACACCAAGUGGGUUACAAGAGGAAAGUAAACACUUACUAGCGCACUUACUUGGAUAUCGUCCCGGAGCUCCAAGCUUCUCUUGUACAAAGAUGCGACGGAGUCAUACGCUCCCUUGGCAUCAC
rnacentral:lncRNA from 1 species